rnacentral:rRNA from 1 species
AGUGAACGCUGGCGGUAGGCCUAAUACAUGCAAGUCGAACGGCAGCACAGUAAGAGCUUGCUCUUACGGGUGGCGAGUGGCGGACGGGUGAGGAAUACACCGGAAUCUACUUUUUCGUGGGGGAUAACGUAGGGAAACUUACGCUAAUACCGCAUACGACCUACGGGUGAAAGCAGGGGAUCUUCGGACCUUGCGCGAUUGAAUGAGCCGAUGUCGGAUUAGCUAGUUGGCGGGGUAAAGGCCCACCAAGGCGACGAUCCGUAGCUGGUCUGAGAGGAUGAUCAGCCACACUGGAACUGAGACACGGUCCAGACUCCUACGGGGGGAAGCAGUGGGGAAUAUUGGGCGAUGGAGGAGAGCCUAAUCCAGCCAUACCGCGUGAGUGAAGAAGGACUUCGGGUUGUAAAGCCCUUUUGUUGGGAGAGAAAAGCAGCAGGUUAAUACCCCGCUGUUCUGACGGUACCCAGAGAAUAAGCACCGGCUAACUUCGUG